rnacentral:rRNA from 1 species
CGGUUAUACGAGAGGCCCCAGUUAAUAGUAUUACGGCGUAAAGGGUGGUUAUGGGACAUACUGAAAUAAAGCCAAACAGGCCCCCGGCCGUCAUACGCUUCCGGGAACUGGAAGUCCAACCCCACGAAAGUGGCUUUAAUAAACAUGCCUGACCCCACGAAAGCUGAGGAACAAACUGGGAUUAGAUACCCCACUAUGCUCAGCCAUAAACCAAGACAUUUAGGUACAUUUACAUGUCCGCCAGGGUACUACAAGCAUUAGCUCAAAACCCAAGGGACCUGACGGUGCCUCAGACCCCCCUAGAGGAGCCUGUUCUAGAACCGAUAACCCCCGUUAAACCUCACCACUUCUAGUCAUCCCAGCCUAUAUACCGCCGUCGCCAGCUUACCCUGUGAAGGUAAUAAGAGUAAGCAAAAUGGGUACAACCCAAAACGUCAGGUCGAGGUGUAGCGCUCGAAGUGGGAAGAAAUGGGCUACAUUUUCUAUUAUAGAACACUACGAAUAUGCAACAUGAAAUAGUGCUUGAAGGAGGAUUUAGUAGUAAAAAGGAAAAAGAGUGUCCUUUUGAACCCGGCUCUGAGACGCGUACACACCGCCCGUCACUCUCCCCUGUCAAAAUGCAAUGAAUUUCUUAAAACUACAGCACAGACGAGGGGAGGCAAGUCGUAACAUGGUAAGUGUACCGGAAGGUGCACUUGG